rnacentral:sRNA from 1 species
GCCAGGAGGGGUGGUGCAUGCCUGUAAUCCCAGCAAAUUAGGAGGCUGAGGCAGGAGGAUGACAAGUUGGAGGCCAGCCUCAGCAAAUUAGUGAGGCCCUGAGCAAGCUAGUGAGACCCUGUCUCAA